GUAGGCGUGGUUUCCUGCUCUGUUGCUAGGAGACUGGAGCGAUGAACUCGUGUGCUCUCGAUACAAUAUUCAGAAUAACAGUCACAAAGCCACAAAAAUAAAUCUCCACGCAUAUAGUGAUGUCUCUUUGCUGAGAAGGAUGGGAGAAUCUCUGUGUGUCACAUAAGGAGUCUCACUGAUACCGUCCAAUGAUGUCUCUUUCCCAUAGGAAGUGUCUCUUUUGCAGAAGGCUUUUGCCUCAUUCACA